rnacentral:rRNA from 1 species
GUGAGGAAUUUUCCGCAAUGGGCGAAAGCCUGACGGAGCAAUGCCGCGUGAAGGAUGAAGGCCUAUGGGUUGUAAACUUCUUUUCUCAGAAAAGAAUUAUGACGGUAUCUGAGGAAUAAGCAUCGGCUAACUCUGUGCCAGCAGCCGCGGUAAGACAGAGGAUGCAAGCGUUAUCCGGAAUGAUUGGGCGUAAAGCGUCUGUAGGUUGUUUAAAAAGUAUUCUGUCAAAGAUUAGGGCUUAACUCUAGAUAGGCAGAAUAAACUUUUAAGCUAGAGUUUGGUAGAGGCAGAGGGAAUUCCCGGUGGAGCGGUGAAAUGCGUAGAUAUCUGGAGGAACACCAAAGGCGAAGGCACUCUGCUGGGCCAAUACUAACACUGAGAGACGAAAGCGAGGGGAGCAAAUGGGAUUAGAAACCCUAGUAGUCC